AGGCGCCCGGGCGAGUCCACCGUCGCCGAAGCGAGCGGGCGAGCGGGUGCGGCCACAGCUGGUUUGUGACCGGCUGCGGACUCCGGGCCGGCGCCGGGGCAGGCUGGAGCCUGCCACGCCCUGACCUGAAGCCGCCCUCUAAGGGGCGGAUCUUGAACUCCGGCUCCGGGAAUCGCUGAUGCCGUGCAGACAGCCAGGGUCUAGUGAAGACAAAAACUCCCAGGGCAUGCUGCCCCCCUUCCCACUGAAGGGAUAGAGUCUGACAGGGACCUAGGCCUUUCGGGGGAUCCCUCGACUUCUGUGGAAGGCUCAGAACCUCCUUUGAGAGAAAUUGUCUGGACUCAAUACUGUGUGCCUUUCUAAAGAGAGCCGUCUACCAGUGUGCCUUUGGCUUUUUUCUCUCUCUCUCCCCCUUUUAUGAUUGUUCAGGUGACAAAUGACUGUCAAUUUUUGCUCAAGGAAGUAUCUUCCAAAACCAUGGAUACAAUUCACAACCCACGAAAGUCCUAGCGAAGACCCUCCAAACUCCGGGCGUUAGCCAGUCAUCACUGUGACGAAGACCCAACAACCAGCUUCGAGGUUCCAGUCCAUAGGCGGCCGGCUCUAUUGUUUCUUGAUGAGGCAGAGCAUUCUGGGGAAGGGGUGUGGAAGCAAAGCUACAUACUUCAUGAGAUCUUAAAAAACAAAAACAUAAACAAAUAAAUAAAACAGUAAUUUGAGUA